CCUACGGGGGGCUGCAGUGGGGAAUAUUGCACAAUGGGCGCAAGCCUGAUGCAGCCAUGCCGCGUGUGUGAAGAAGGCCUUCGGGUUGUAAAGCACUUUCAGCGGGGAGGAAGGCGUUAAGGUUAAUAACCUUGUCGAUUGACGUUACCCGCAGAAGAAGCACCGGCUAACUCCGUGCCAGCAGCCGCGGUAAUACGGAGGGUGCAAGCGUUAAUCGGAAUUACUGGGCGUAAAGCGCACGCAGGCGGUCUGUCAAGUCGGAUGUGAAAUCCCCGGGCUCAACCUGGGAACUGCAUUCGAAACUGGCAGGCUAGAGUCUUGUAGAGGGGGGUAGAAUUCCAGGUGUAGCGGUGAAAUGCGUAGAGAUCUGGAGGAAUACCGGUGGCGAAGGCGGCCCCCUGGACAAAGACUGACACUCAGGUGCGAAAGCGUGGGGAGCAAACAGGAUUAGAUACCCUUGUAGUC
rnacentral:rRNA from 1 species